GCCAGGCGCAGUGGUGCGUGCCUGUACUCCCAGCUACUGGGGAGGCUGAGGCAGAAGAAUUGCUUGAACCCAGGAAGCAGAGGUUGCAGUGAGUCGAGAUCACGCCACUGCACUCCAGCCUGGGUGACAGAGCAAGACUCUGUCUCAA
rnacentral:SRP_RNA from 2 species